rnacentral:ncRNA from 1 species
UUAUACCCGACGAUACCCGAAUGGGGAAACCCAGUGCAAUCCGUUGCACUAUCGCAACAUGAAUACAUAGUGUUGCGAGGCGAACCGGGGGAACUGAAACAUCUCAGUACCCCGAGGAAAAGAAAUCAACCGAGAUUCCCCUAGUAGCGGCGAGCGAACGGGGAGGAGCCCAGAACCUGAAUCAGUUUGUGUCUUAGUGGAAGCGUCUGGAAAGUCGCACGACAGAGGGUGAUAGUCCCGUACACGAAGAGGCAUGGAUUGUGAGUUCGAUGAGUAGGGCGGGACACGUGUUAUCCUGUCUGAAUAUGGGGGGACCAUCCUCCAAGGCUAAAUACUCCUGACUGACCGAUAGUGAACCAGUACCGUGAGGGAAAGGCGAAAAGAACCCCGGCGAGGGGAGUGAAAUAGAACCUGAAACCGUGUACGUACAAGCAGUGGGAGCCUUGAUUAAUCAGGGUGACUGCGUACCUUUUGUAUAAUGGGUCAGCGACUUAUAUUCUGUAGCAAGGUUAACCGAAUAGGGGAGCCGCAGGGAAACCGAGUCUUAACUGGGCGUUAAGUUGCAGGGUAUAGACCCGAAACCCGGUGAUCUAGCCAUGGGCAGGUUGAAGGUUGGGUAACACUAACUGGAGGACCGAACCGACUAAUGUUGAAAAAUUAGCGGAUGACUUGUGGCUGGGGGUGAAAGGCCAAUCAAACCGGGAGAUAGCUGGUUCUCCCCGAAAGCUAUUUAGGUAGCGCCUCGUGAACUCAUCUUCGGGGGUAGAGCACUGUUUCGACUAGGGGGCCAUCCCGGCUUACCAACUCGAUGCAAACUGCGAAUACCGAAGAAUGUUAUCACGGGAGACACACGGCGGGUGCUAACGUCCGUCGUGAAGAGGGAAACAACCCAGACCGCCAGCUAAGGUCCCAAAGUCAUGGUUAAGUGGGAAACGAUGUGGGAAGGCCCAGACAGCCAGGAUGUUGGCUUAGAAGCAGCCAUCAUUUAAAGAAAGCGUAAUAGCUCACUGGUCGAGUCGGCCCGCGCGGAAGAUGUAACGGGGCUAAACCAUGCACCGAAGCUGCGGCAGCGACACU